UUGUUGUAAAUAACGGCGGCGCCGAAGCUUCUAGCAGGGUUAAUACCAGUUCCGGUGAUGGGAAUAGUAGCCAAAUGAACCAUGAACACUGCAAAUCCUAUAGGCAGUGGAGCCAACACGGGUACAUGUGAAUCACGGGCACUUCUUUUAGGGUCAGUAGCUGAAAAAACAGUGUAAACAAGCACGAAUGUCCCAAUAAUCUCAGCUCCCAAAGCAGUCCCUUUGUUAUAACCAGUCGCCACCGUGUUAGCACCGCCGCCAAGGGAGUUGUAUUCACUCUUCAUGAAUGCCUUAACUAACCCAACACCACAAAUAGCACCCAAACAUUGAGCUACCAUGUAAGCCACCGCCCUUAUAAGCGACACCUUCCUAGCCAAAAACAACCCAAAUGUCACCGCCGGGUUAAUGUGACCACCUGCAUCAUAAAACAACCAAAAUUCAACAAAAAUGGCUAACUGGCUAUAUCAAUGAAGUCACUGUUUGGGGGGGGGAGGUACCUGAGAUACCGGCGGUGCAGUAAACAAGAAUGAAAAUCAUGCCACCAAAAGCCCAAGCAAUACCCAAAAGACCAACACCAUCGCAUGCAUCGUGUUGUUUCUUGUGGCCGAUGACGGUGGCUAUGGUGACGUAUAGGAAAAGGAGAGUAGCGAUGAAUUCGGCGAUGAGAGCUCUGUAAAAAGACCAAAGCUUGAUCUCA
rnacentral:lncRNA from 1 species